rnacentral:rRNA from 1 species
UACGAAGGGGGCUAGCGUUGUUCGGAAUUACUGGGCGUAAAGCGCGCGCAGGCGGUCUUCCAAGUCAGUGGUGAAAGCCCGGAGCUCAACUCCGGAACUGCCAUUGAAACUGUGAGACUUGAGGAUGAGAGAGGUGAGUGGAAUUCCCAGUGUAGAGGUGAAAUUCGUAGAUAUUGGGAAGAACACCAGUGGCGAAGGCGGCUCACUGGCUCGUAUCUGACGCUCAGGCGCGAUAGCGUGGGGAUCAAACAGG